rnacentral:ribozyme from 17 species
GAAACACAAGAGUGCAGCAGACCAAAAGGAAAAACUUCAUGAUUGUUUUUGGUUUUGUGUUUGUAUUUGAAUUUGUAUUUUUCUUCUUCUUUUUUUCUGUUUUCUUCGGACGGACCGUCGACGACCGAGAGUUGGUAUUUGACAGAAAGAGAUGCAAGAAUGGAGUGCGAUGCAGUGGCGGUAGGUGACCUUGGUCUGGACGUGAUAGUAUUGUUAGUAUUGUACAGUAACCUUAUUGAUACUCGUAUUGUACUCGUAUGAUGUUUCGGUCCGUUGUGAUUUGUGAGGAAGCGAAAAAAAAAAAAAAUCACGACAA